AGCGAACGCUGGCGGCAGGCCUAACACAUGCAAGUCGAACGCCCCUUCGGGGGAGUGGCGGACGGGUGAGUAACGCGUGGGAACGUGCCCUUUGGUGCGGAACAACUGAGGGAAACUUCAGCUAAUACCGCAUGAGCCCUACGGGGGAAAGAUUUAUCGCCAUUGGAGCGGCCCGCGUUGGAUUAGGUAGUUGGUGGGGUAAAGGCCCACCAAGCCUACGAUCCAUAGCUGGUCUGAGAGGAUGAUCAGCCACACUGGGACUGAGACACGGCCCAGACUCCUACGGGAGUCAGCAGUGGGGAAUCUUGCGCAAUGGGCGAAAGCCUGACGCAGCCAUGCCGCGUGAAUGAUGAAGGUCUUAGGAUUGUAAAAUUCUUUCACCGGGGAAGAUAAUGACGGUACCCGGAGAAGAAGCCCCGGCUAACUUCGUGCCAGCAGCCGCGGUAAAAC
rnacentral:rRNA from 1 species